CCGCGAAUUCGCCCUUAGGGUUUGAUUAUGGCUCAGAUUGAACGCUGGCGGCAGGCCUAACACAUGCAAGUCGAGCGGUAGCACAGGAGAGCUUGCUCUCUGGGUGACGAGCGGCGGACGGGUGAGUAAUGUCUGGGAAACUGCCCGAUGGAGGGGGAUAACCACUGGAAACGGUGGCUAAUACCGCAUAACGUCUACGGACCAAAGAGGGGGACCUUCGGGCCUCUUGCCAUCGGAUGUGCCCAGAUGGGAUUAGCUAGUAGGUGGGGUAACGGCUCACCUAGGCGACGAUCCCUAGCUGGUCUGAGAGGAUGACCAGCCACACUGGAACUGAGACACGGUCCAGACUCCUACGGGAGGCAGCAGUGGGGAAUAUUGCACAAUGGGCGCAAGCCUGAUGCAGCCAUGCCGCGUGUGUGAAGAAGGCCUUCGGGUUGUAAAGCACUUUCAGCGAGGAGGAAGGCCAAUAACUUAAUACGUUGUUGGAUUGACGUUACUCGCAGAAGAAGCACCGGCUAACUCCGUGCCAGCAGCCGCGGUAAUACGGAGGGUGCAAGCGUUAAUCGGAAUUACUGGGCGUAAAGCGCACGCAGGCGGUUUGUUAAGUCAGAUGUGAAAUCCCCGCGCUUAACGUGGGAACUGCAUUUGAAACUGGCAAGCUAGAGUCUCGUAGAGGGGGGUAGAAUUCCAGGUGUAGCGGUGAAAUGCGUAGAGAUCUGGAGGAAUACCGGUGGCGAAAGCGGCCCCCUGGAC
rnacentral:rRNA from 1 species